CGGGAAAAGCUCAAAUUUGAAAUCUGGCGGUUCCGCCGUCCGAGUUGUAUUCUGGAGAAGCGUCUUCCGCGCCGGACCGUGUACAAGUCCCUUGGAACAGGGCGUCAUAGAGGGUGAGAAUCCCGUCUUUGACACGGACCCCCGGUGCUAUGCGAUGCGCUCUCGAA
rnacentral:rRNA from 1 species